GAUGAACGCUGGCGGCGUGCUUAACACAUGCAAGUCGAACGGUGAAGGCGGAGCUUGCUCUGCUGGAUCAGUGGCGAACGGGUGAGUAACACGUGAGCAAUCUGCCCCUGACUCUGGGAUAAGCGCUGGAAACGGCGUCUAAUACUGGAUACGAGCUGCGAAGGCAUCUUCAGCAGCUGGAAAGAACUUCGGUCAGGGAUGAGCUCGCGGCCUAUCAGCUUGUUGGUGAGGUAACGGCUCACCAAGGCGUCGACGGGUAGCCGGCCUGAGAGGGUGACCGGCAACACUGGGACUGAGACACGGCCCAGACUCCUACGGGAGGCAGCAGUGGGGAAUAUUGCACAAUGGGCGAAAGCCUGAUGCAGCAACGCCGCGUGAGGGACGACGGCCUUCGGGUUGUAAACCUCUUUUAGCAGGGAAGAAGCGAAAGUGACGGUACCUGCAGAAAAAGCGCCGGCUAACUACGUG
rnacentral:rRNA from 1 species